rnacentral:rRNA from 1 species
GACAGAGGGUGCAAACGUUGCUCGGAAUCACUGGGCGUAAAGGGCGUGUAGGCGGGAAGGAAAGUCAGAUGUGAGAUCCCUGGGCUCAACCCAGGAACUGCAUUUGAAACUCCCUUUCUUGAGUGUCGGAGAGGAAAGCGGAAUUCCUGGUGUAGAGGUGAAAUUCGUAGAUAUCAGGAGGAACACCGGUGGCGAAGGCGGCUUUCUGGACGACAACUGACGCUGAGACGCGAAAGCGUGGGGAGCAAACGGG